UCCAUUUAACCAAAAUCCUCUUGAUGAACACAGAGUAUUUACAACAUUUUUGCUCUCAUAACAAUGCUCUGAUGAACCUCAUGCAUUCAUCUUUGAGCUUUUGACCAAUUUUCCUUCUGUGGUAAAUUCCUGAAAGUAGAAUUGUUGGGACAAAAGAUUUAGAGAUUUUGUAUCUUUAAACAUAUUACCAGUUUGCCAACCCAAAGGGUCAUAUGAGAUUACUUUCUGCCUACAGUGUAGUACAGUGCCAGCUUCUCCCAACAACCUUGCCAACGUUGGGUAUUGUCAAUUUUUUGGCUCUUUGCCAAGCUGAUAGGAGAAUGGAAUGUCUAAUGGUUUUUGAAUUACAUUCUGACUGUGCUGCAUCAGACUGUAACUGAAUGCAGUUGUGAUGUGUCAGGGGACCUGGUUUAACUCAUAGCACACUGUUUGAAUCUGUGUAAUAACUAACUAUGAUAUAAUCAGGCUUUCUUGCAGUUUUGAAAAAGAAGCCAAACCUUCACAUGGUUUAAAUUACUCUCUCAUUUACACUCUCCAUGCGUGAGAUCACCUGGGAAGCCCUUUGGAGAUGCCCCCAGUGACCCAGUACAAGUUGUCAACUGCACUCUCCAUGAAAGAGAGAUUGUUCUGGUCCAAACCCUAUGCUCUAGAGGAGCAUCUUGGAAACAGCACUGCCCUAUAAUUGAUAUUGCUCCAUUGGGUGGCCUGUGGUAUUCAAUUCACUGGAACGUAUCAAUCCCUUUGCCUUCAGCAAUAAUAUUUUCACAGUUUUGAUGUGUUUUAAAGGUUAUUGUCUCCAGGACAGGUAAUUGAGGAGGCCUCACACUUCAUCAGAGGCCAUUUCAUCUUUAUUACACAGCCACACACAAGGCAGCAUUUUCUCCUUUCACUGAUGGAUUAUUUCAAGAUUUAUAAGGUCUGGUCUACAUGAAAGCAAACACAUGUUUGGGCAAACAGUCAAAUAAUUCAAAGAUAUAGGGUCAGCAGGAUCCUAAUAUAAAAGUCAGGACUUCCAGCCUGGGCAACAAAGUGAAAUCUGGUCUCUACAAAAAAUACAAAAAAUUAGCCGGGCAUGGUGGCUCUCGCCAGUGGUCCCAGCUACCCGAGAAGCUAAGGUGGGAGGAUUGCCUGAGCCCCAGGAAGUGGAGGCUGCAGUGAGCCAUGUUCAUGCCAGUGCACUCCAGUCUGGGCCACAAAGCAAGACCUUGUCUCAAAAAAUGAUAAUAAUAAAUAAUAAAAGUCACAACUUUUUCCUCUUCUACCUGUGCCAGAGACCCACCACCUAACCCACAUACACACAGACACACACAAACACACCAUACACUUAUUCCUUUCUUAAAAUGUGGCUUUCAAAUAUUUGCUUUGCAUGCAGUUUUCUAUGAAGAUAUGACCAGUUUCAAGAUUAUCUACUCUAAGUUUUCUGACUGGUUGUCAGUCAGUCAGUUUGGAACCCUGCCAUAACAUAUUUUCCUCAAAUUCCUUGCAGAUACUGGAAUAAUAAUGAAUGGGAAUGUUAUUUUGAGCCAAUAUUUGGAAAGUCCUUAUUUGGAAUUCUACAGGUUUAUGUCUCCUGCCCAGUUCCUAAGCCCUCUUUAUAGAUAGCCAUCCAGAAGAUAAUCAUCCAGCAGCUAUCCGGGUACAUUCGGCUGACUUGGUUAGUUGGGUCUAAGCAGUAUAUCCAUGAGUUCUAACUCGGGUUUCUCAAACUCUUUUUCCUUCGGGUUUCUCAGACUCUUCUCUCAAACUCAAACUGCCUUCUCCAGUCCAUUGCUAAAGCUUGUAUGACCUUUGCUUUCCCUCCAUUUCUUGACUUGUGGCAUCCACUAGUCCUACAUUGUAGGACUAGUGUGAGCAGGUCACUCAGCCUGAAAGCACUCACCCUGGGCCUCUAGAGCUAAGUUGCCUCAACACACUUCACUAUGGCUUCUCAGAGCACACUCACCUUGAAUGUUUAGAAAAGGUAAUCUUUUGGGGGUUCAAUGAGAUCAAAAGCACGGAUACCAAUUUUGUGAUCAGGAAUCAGGAAAAUCUGGGAAAUGAAGAACGAAAUGAGGCCUUACCAUUUUGAUGCAAAGUUCAUAUUCAAGUGAGUCAGGAGAUCUGGUUUAAGUUCCAGAUCUGCCUCUUACUAGUUUUAGAAUCUUGGGCAAUUCUAGGCUGGACGUGGUGGCUCACACCCAUAAUCCCAGCAAUUUGGGAGGCCAAGGCAGGUGAAUGCUUGAGCCCAGAAGUUCAAGACAUGCCUUGGCAACAUAGGAAGGCCCCAUUUCUACAAAAAUAAAAAUUAGCCAGGCAUGGUGGUGCAUUCCUGUAAUCCCAGCAAUAUGGAAGGUGGGAAGAUCACUUGAGUCCCAGAGGUCAAGGCUGCGGUGAGCUAUGAUCUGCCACUGCACUCCAGCCUGGGUGAGAGUGAGAUCCUCUGUGAAAACAAAACAGAACAAAACAAACAACAAACAAACAAACAAAAAACCAAAAAAAAUUGGAGGGAAUUUAGUUCAUAUAUUUGAGUCUUUGUUUCCUCGUCUAGAAGAUGUAGUAAAGAUAAACGAGGUCAUAUAUGAUUGUCCCUGGCAUAAUAUUUUGGUACUUAUUGAAAAGCAGCUAUUGUUUUAAGUCCUUUGCAUAUACAUUUCUAUGAUUUACUAUAUAUCAGUAGCAUUUCUCCAACCCAUCUUGGCUAGGCAAGCACCACUGAAUAUGAAGGAGGCCAAAUAGAAUGAUACUAUCCAAGCUGCAAAGAAACAAACAAAAGAAAACAUCUAAAUGCAUGCCUCUUUGGAGUGGCAUUUGCAUCCGUUGCCAAUAUCCAUAGAACAAAUGCCUUCAGGCAGGAGAAGUUGGGAUAAUGUCAAUGUUUUUAAUAGCUGUAGUAGAGUCCUAUUUAGAAAGCAGUAAUUAUCUCUCCAUAUUGAUUUUUUACAUCCCCUCAAUAAAUCCAGAAGAAAUGUGAAGACCAUCUGUAAGUGUGAUUUUUACCAGGAUCACACUCUAAUUUGCAAUGGCUGUGUGUCUGUUUGAUUUAGAUCAGGGGUUAGCAAACUGCAGCCCACAAGCCAAAACUACCUCCCCCAUCUAUUUUUAUAAAUAAAGUUUUAUUGGAACACACCCAUCACACCCAUUUCUUUAUAUCUGUGCCUGCUUUCAUGCUACCAUGGUUGUUUUAUUUAAUUGUAACAGGGAUCUAAGAGAUCUAGAGCCCAUAUUGCCCACAGAGCUGAAAACAUAUGUACUAUCUAACCCUUUGCAGGAAAAAAACUUGUUAAAUCAUGAUUGAGAUUAUAGUAGUAUUAUUUCUGAUUGACUAGGUAGUAAUUGGUCCCAGCAUGUAAAGUUUCUAAUAUUAAAGUCACACGAUAAAGGAGCUAGAGGCUUAAGAAAAGUAUACGUGAAUUUAUUUAUUUGGAAUAGGAAGGGAAACAUCCCUGGUAUCAUCAUGAUGGCAUAUAGAGGCAGGGCUGAGAGCUAGAAUACAGAAUACGUCCUUUGCUAGAAACAGUUUCUCGGGCUGGGUUAGAGUGGGUAGAAACUAUGGAUCAUCCUGCCGCAGGUCCAAGUAAACAGGAUUUGGCGCUCUACAUAAUGGCUAUAAAGAAACAUAAAGGUGAUUUCUCCAAGUGUUAUGCUAGGUGAGAAAUAUUUAAUAAGUAAGAGCAAUCAGAAUUGGUCCCAUAUUGAGAAAGUCUGUUUUGGAGCCCAGACUAAAUAGACUGUGCAGUGAGAAAUGAAAGGUCAAUUUAGAUAACUUCAUUUAGGGCAAAAUCAUGACUUAGGAAAUCAUGACUAGAUAAAUAUCCAGUGAAGAGCAGGGAGAGAAGAUUCAUCAAUGGCCGUGGGUUGCUGUGAACUACAGAACUGAAACAUCAAUGUAUGAAUAAAGUGCUGUAUUGAUGGACAGAUGUGUACAUUUUUAUGUAUAUGCCAUAAAAAAUCUGAAUCAAUUUCUAUUUGAAAUAGAGAAAAGCUAGUUCAGAUGUUAGAAACUUUUCUGACGCAAAAUAUUGUGUAAUUCAUAAACAAUUCCUUGUGUUUUAGUUUACAGUAUAUCCAGAAUAUAGGACUUGCCUACUGUAAUGUAUAAAACAAAAGAACUUCAGAUUGAUUUGUUUGUUAAGUAGUAGACAUUCUCCUAGGAUGUUUAUGUUUGUGAAGAUGAUAAAUGGAAGAAUACAUCCACAGAAAAUGUAGACACAGGCCCUUCUCUCCCAGUCUCAACACCACACCCUACACACACACAAUGCCUUCCUUCUAACCUUGUCUAUACUGUCUCUGCAACACACAAAGCAUAUGCCCAGGAUAAGCUUCUCUUUCAACCACCUAUCAGGCUUUCAACAUGUGGUUUGAAAAGAUAGUGACAUUGCUAUGCUCUGACAUACACCGUAAUGUCAGUACAGCAGAAGCAAGUGGAAGAUUCUACUUUUCCGAUAAAGAUCAGUUGCUGUUUCCUGUCUUGAAGACGAAAGUUGAGCAAAAGCAAAGGUCAUCUGUGUUUAUAUUAACAAUGUAAGAGUUAUACUACAUUUUCGCAACAACAUCAGGUCAUUAUUUAUCCACUUGUCCUUUUUUUUUUUUAUCAUUCCUUUGAACUGCCUGCAUUUGCUUAUCGUGAUAUUUCUCAGUCUGUAAACAGCCCGAGUAGCUGUUCUAUUUCUCUAAAUAGAGUCUUAGGUCAUUUUAUUAUCCAGAAUUGUAAGUCAUCAGAAUGCACCCAUCUGUUGUCCUUCCACAUCUGGGCUAACUUUAACUCUUUAAGCCCAUAGAAAAAGUAGAAAAGCCAUUGUGAUAUGAGUUUGAUAUUUUUUCCUACCAUACUGCUUUCCAGCAUAUGGUUUUCCCUGAAAAAUCACAAGGAAAUAUUUACAAAUGUCUUAUUUUUCUUUGGACAUGGCAUUAAACGUGGUAGAUCCUCCACCUCCACUUGGCUCUUUCUGAUUUUCUGUUACCCUAAUUAUCCUUCCUGGGAUCACAGCUGCUCAGAGCCUCUUCUUACCAAUUUAAAAAACCUCUAAAGAUGUGACGGCUGCCUUUCCAGUGGCCAAAAAGCUGAUUUCCAUAGCAGAGGAGCUGCGACUGGGGCAGAGAGCCAAAGACAGCUUGUGCCAACAGCCUUGUCAAUAUGCCAAUCAUCUUGUUAUAGUUUAUUACAUGCAUGACUUGAUUUUCUUGCAUGUGCGUUUUAGAGGUAACAACAUAUUGGUAAACCUGUUUUCAAUCCUUUUGAUUACCUUCAAUUUGAUAGCUCCUUCAGUAAUGAAGAAAAAAAUGGGCUAUUGUGUUUGAAUUACAUUUAUCAAAUGAUUCUAAGAUUGUUCUAACGUGUGCGACAGGAUAAGCUCUCUUUUAGUCACCAAUUGGAGAAAUAUGCUCAGUGUCAAGGAAAUGGAGAAAUGCCUCAUUAUUUAUGUUGACUAAUGUAUAAAUACAAUAUGAACAGGGGCGGUUUCAACCCUGCAAACGUUUUCUUCCAAGUUGCUCUGUGUUUUAGCUAGACUAGACUAGAUUGUUCAGUGGUCACAAACUACCCCAAAAUCUUAACAGUUUACAACAACGGAAGUUUAUUUUCUAAAUAUAUAACAUCCACUGAGUGUUGGCCAGCGUUGACUGGGGGUUGUUCUCCACAUCACGUCCCUAAGGGACCAACAGUGUUGGAGGAGUCUCUCUUCUCAUAUUGAUGUUCACCAUGGCAAAGGCAAUGAUCACAGUGAACCACAUGCUACAUUUUAAGCUUCUACCUGGACACCACACAAGUCACUUCCACUUCCAUUUUGGUGGUAAAGCAAGUCAAUUCAAGUCUGACUUCAGCAUCUUUGGGAAAUAUAAUUCCACCCCAGGAGGGGAAGCAGAUAUGGGUGAAAUGUAAUAAAAUUCACCUCUCCAUCAAGUCCUAGUAGCAUUGUUUUAUUUGAGUGAAUUCUUUUCUUUUUUUUUCUUCCUUACAGAUCCUCUUUAAAACAUCAGCCUGGAAACAGUAUCUGUAGAAAUCAGUUUUGUUAGUUCUAAAGCAGGGCUUCAUUGUUGGGAUGUGUUGUCUGCCUUUGUUAGCAGAUUUCAAUCAUAGCCCUAAAUGGAAGACACAUUUUAGGGCUGUUGCUGCUAUAGAACUCCAGGUCUUUCUGCUUAAGGGUUUCACACUUAUGUGUGAAGGGAGGACACCCUUGGCCAAAAGAACCAAGGCUGCUCAGUUAGCUGCUGGUUGUCCUCCAGCAAAUUCCUAGAACUAAAUACCUGGUGCUGAGGUGUCACGACUCAGCAAGUCCUAGAACCUGUGCUUAUGACAGCACUCUGAUAAUUCCCGGUUAUUGCAUCACUCCCUGAUGGAAACCCAGCUUUUAUUUCAGCAAAAGUAAUGGAUUGUUCCAGACCCCUGACCUCCCUUGAAGAUGUCUUUUUGUUGGAUCUGGCCCUGUAUAUUUUCCAGUUGGUUCAAGACCUAGAGAAAUUUCUACAGACUCUCUCAUACCAGAAUGACAAGACCCAAAUGGGAGAAUUAGGCCAGAAGCAACAACGCCCUCAGGCUUAGUGAAAUUGACCAAAGUUUGAAGAAGUUAUCGCAAACAGUGUGGCCAUUUCUCCUCAGACACUGGACAUCCUACAUCUGUUAUAUGGUUUACCAUCCAUCCACUUCCUUGCUAUAGCUCCAGGUCCACAAUUCUUUGUCAUGUCAUUGCUCUUGACCUAUACCAUGACUGAUAACCAUGUACAUUUUUAAGAAAAAAAUGUAAAUUAAUUAAAAUAAUUU